rnacentral:siRNA from 1 species
AUCCUAAAACACCAAUCAUGUCGU